AUUUUCAAGGCUUUGCUCAGCAGCAUGCUCUGCAAAACAAGUCAAAGUUAGAAUACCAAAAUCACCACGAAGGUAAUAAUAGAGAGUUAUAGAGAAACCUUACAUUGAAAUUAGAAUAGAACAAACUACUGACAAUAUGUUGCCACCUGUAGCAGCUAAUGUCAGUUUCCAGCUUCGGAAAUCCAACACUCUUGGAUAAGGUGCCUACAAUUUUUGCACCGGCGUGGUCGCGAAUGCAUCCCAAAAUUUCUUCGUCGACCUCGCCGAAGAGUAUGGACCCCGGCUGGUAACCACAGGAUAUAUCAAACUCUUUUAACUUUGUCUUAUCCACUUUGGAAAGUUCUUGGCCACCUAGGUGCACAAGGUCAAAAUCUUUCUCUUCUGAAAAGUCAUCUUCAAUUCUUUUUCCUUUAUUAGGUGCUACGACCAUGUUCUCCUUGGCAACCACAUCUGAUAUGAGUUUGUCAAUUUCUGACAUUGUAGUUGCGAGUUCCUCAGCUUCGGCUCCGGUGACAUCUUCGGUAUUGACUGGUAUCGUGUCACACCCUAACUUUAAGGAACAAAGCUGGGUGCAUCUUAUACAUGUGCCAAAGAAGACAACACAUAUAAUAACAGAGUGUAUAGAGAUAAAUGUCACUAUAAUCAGAGUAUUUAUUACAUAGCGGAAUCUUACAAAAUAAAGAUAAAUAUAACAGGAUCUAAAAUCCAUCCUUGGCGCCAGAAAGUCAACUGGCCGGGAGACACCAUCUAGAUCGAAACGAACUCCUCGAUACGUGGCUCCUCUUGAACCACCUGUUCUUCUCCUGUGGGGGGGUGAGACAGCAAGAGUGAGCUCACACAUGUUCAUCGCUCAACAAGUUGCGGAGAAUAAUGUGCAUGUACUCGCCAAAGGUGGGAGCUCAUGAUGUGUAAGGCUUACCAAAGUGAAUGGUUCAAGCUGAGCAUUGCUUUUAAUGUUGGUCAAAAUUUUAUUAGCAAUUACUAAGUGUUGGAGACUUAUUCUCAAAUGCUUCGGAUUAAGAACAAGGCAACACAAAAAGAGGUUAAUGGUUAAUGUUAUUCGUCCUUCGAAGCAUUAUUUCCCUUAGGAUAUAUAACGAUCUUCGGACGAAGGUUAUGAAGGACGUACCUUCAUCAUCACAGUACAUAUUAACGAAAGACGAAACAUAUGAAAUAUGAGAAAUAGCACGGAUAACCAUAUGACAUUAUUAUUAUAUCUUUAUUAUAUCAUCAUGAAUAAAUAAGAACAACAUCGGGUUACAUUUGUACCUUCGGCUCUACAGAAGGUGGAAAGUCCAAGCGUGACGCACAAGUGAAUACAAGUCAGCGUGAACAGUAUGGGGUACUGUUCAUCUAUUUAUAGGCACAGGGCGCAGCCUAUGUGAAAUUACAUUCAUGCCCUUCAUGCCUACUAUUGACCUAAGAACAAUCUGUCGGGGACUAGAUAGCCUUUUCCUCCUUAAGUCGGUUCCUUUUUCUGCUACUGAGCCGAAGCUCACUUGCGCAUCUUCAACACUGGUUCAGCCUUCGUUCCGACCCUGCUCCCAUAUUGUGUACAACUUCAUCCUAAGUCCGAAGGUGCCUGUCUGCAUAUUACACUUGGGAAACAUUGUUAAUCAUGUUUUUGAGGACCUUCGGGAGACGAAGGCCCCCAAUAGUAGCCCCUCGCAGUAUUAAUUUGUUAUGACAACAAAUUGAGACUGCGACGUGAACGAAGGCCUUAAGCCGAAGGUCCGAAAAAACACCUGCCCUUUGCUAGAAUAGCAACAAUCAAUGACAGACGGGGCCCUCCAAGUUGCAGCGUGCUAGGCGUAUAAAUAUGAACUCACGCCGGCAUCAUUUGAUACGCUGUUUCUGCCAUUUGCAUUAUUUUCUAAAACUUUUUAGCUCUUGCUCACUAGCGCUUGCUAGACUUUCAAGCUUUUUGAGCUUCGGCUUAAAGACGUUUGCACCAUGUCUGAGGAAAAAAUGACCGAGGAAAAGAAGGUUGCUACGGAGACAAAGCUGGCUGAAGAGACGAAGUUAUUUGAAGAAAAGAAAGCUGCGGAUCCUUUUAUUGCCGGGUUUAUUGAAUCUAUGUCAAAAACAAAUAAAGAGAAGAUUACUAAAGAGAUACUAGAGGGUUUGUCUGAAGAUACUGAUGACAGUGAUAGAUAUGAUGUGGACAGUGGGGAUGAAGAUUCUGAAGAUCGUCCGUGGCGACCAAGCCAUACUAUCUUCGGAAAAUCGACUAUUAAACAGAGUCAUCUUGACAACAUGAGAGGAAGGUACUUUCGUGACAUGUCUAUCGUGAGAGUUGGCGGAGACAACAUCGUGCCCGCCCCUGAGGAAGAUGAAGUUGUCAUCUAUCGAAGCUUUUUUAAGGCUGGUCUUCGGUUUCAUUUAAGCAAGUUUGUAGUUGAAGUGCUGAAGAUCUACCAGAUCUUCCUUCAUUAGAUCACCCCCGAAGCUAUAAUGAGGAUGGGGAUUUUUGUCUGGGCUGUGAGGAGUCAGGGGCUGGAGCCAAGCGCGAAGUGCUUCUGCAGUAUGCCCGAACUCUUAUAUGAGACGAAGGAUACUGGCAAAGAAUAGUACCACAACAACUUCAGUUGUUAUGGAUUUAAUGCUCGCCCCAACACAAGCCACCCGGUGCCAACGUUUCGGAAGAGGUGGCCCAGAGCCUGGAUGGAAGAGUGGUUGUAUGUGAAGAAUGAUUUAAAGGCAAGGGAAGACAUUAAAGAAGUCAUCAUGCGCCCCAUCUAGUCCUGCUUCGGCCUCCGAAGGCCGAAGGUGGAAAAUUAUGACACUGUUGAAGCGUGUAAGAGGGCUUUCAACACUGUUUGCUCCUUCAUUGGCACAAGAGAUUUAAUUUAGGAACAUAUAGCCUUUAGGGUGUGACCGCUUGUGGAAAGCUGGGAAAUGCCGAGGGAGACCACCACCAAUUCUAGCGAAGGUGGUUUGGUCCGACUGAAGUAUACCUUCAGAUUCAGGGAGAAGUUUCAUGAGCCAAACGACAACUGGCUAAAGUGCAUCGAAGCUACCAGUGAUGAACUGCUUGGAGCAUAUUCCAAGGCAGAAGAUAAUGCUCUAUCCGCAGUCUUCGGAGGUCGGGGGAAGAAAAGACUGAACAGAGUUUUUGACGCGAUCAGCUUCGUAUACCCUGAUUACCGCUACCCGCUGCGUGGACAAGAGAAAAAGAGGAAGAUUGCUGCUUCAGUCACACCAGCUGAGCCUGUGCCGAAGAGCAAAAAGGUGAAGGUUCUGACCCAGCGGCCUCGUUAUAUUGAACCGGUCGUGGUGCCUGAAUUCGGCGCAGGGUCCUCCUCAACAACCGAAGCAACAGAAACUGCUCCAAUUGCAUAGAGUACUGAAGAGGCGACCGUAAUGCCGAAGGUACCCAUAGCCGAGCCAGUCGAGGCUAAGGUUGAUAAGGCUGAAAAGUCGAAGAUUGAAGAAAUAAUAAAAAAAUGCCAAAAAUUCUGAUCCCUCCGACAAAGACAAAACUGUCGAAGAUGCAAAAGGCUUCUGUUGCAACUCCCAAGAGGAGGAGAAUGGCCAACGUGCUGGAUAUUGUGCUGGAAACUACGAAGAUUUUAAGCCCUGCUGCUUCAAAGAAAGUUGCUGAAAUUACAAAAACACAGGCCGAAACUAAAACUAGGAAAACAGAAACUAAAGUUGCGCCAGCUCAAACUAAGGCCGAAGCUGGGCCUUUAGUGCCCACCGAGAUGGAGCCUGCUGAUCCUAAGGAAACAACGACAGCGCAGAUUGCAUUUGAAAAGAUCUAAACUCCUGCUCCCGAAGCUUCGAACAAAAACAUUGACUACAUUAUUUGUCAUGCUUCGGGAAAGGAACUAUCCCAAGAAGAAAUGCUAGAAGCAUGACACUACGCCCAAAAAUUGAAAUAUCCGAAGGGGGCGUUAGUGUUCAAUGGUAGUGACGAAGAAGAUUUUCUGUACCGUCUCCCGGAUAACAAAGAAAUAUCCGUUUGCCGGGAGAUAGGUAAAAACAUCGGAUUCCCAAAGCUAGAAGACGACCUUUCGAUUUUAUCGAAUGAUGAACUUGCUGAUAGCCUAGCAUACAAUAGCAUUAAGGUAUAAAAGUUAACUUUGAAUUUGAAAAUGAGGUAUAUCAUUUGUCACUCAGUUCUUUCCUCCUCUUGUAGGGCUUGAUUCUUAGUAAUGCCCUUAGGGCACAGAAAAAUAUUGAAGACGAAGGCUAUAUAAUGGCUUUGAACAACCUUCGUUCAUAGGUGAUUGAAUUGAGAAACGAAGGUCUUGAAAAAAACAAAAUCUUAAUUUCUCUGGUUAACAAAGUGAAAGAAGAUGAAGCUAGUUUCAAAGCUCAAGCCGAAGCCCAAAAGAUUGAAAUUGAAGACCAUCAGAGGCAACUGGUCGAAGCUAAAGAAAAAUGUGCACUCGCAGAAGCUAACCAAGAAAUCAGCGAAUAUUGGAAAAAUCAUUUAGAGAAAAAUGUUGAAGAACUUCGCACAUCCAAGGAAAGGUGCUUUGAAAAAUCCUUGGAUUGUGUGAAGAAAAUAAAAGCUAGUUUCGCCAAAGUGGGUGCCUAUUCUGCCAAAGAAAACUUCAUACGAGGCGACCCCAAAGGCGUUAUUGAAUGGAUAAGUGGAGAGGUCGAGACCUUUGAAGAAAUUUUAAGUGAUCGCGGGGAUGUUUGCGCAUUUUCCGGUGCACGGGGAAUUUCAGUCAUCUUGGAGAAGGAGGGAUGCGACCAUAUUAAAAACAUGGCCCAGACUGAAGCUGCCUUCUCCAUAGAUGAUACGAAGGAUCCUUCAGCUCAAGCAACCUUGAUGGACGGAAAAUUCUAUAAUGAUGUCUGGGUGAAUGGUGGCCGAGAGAUGGCCCAUGAAAUUAAAAAUAAAAGUGAAAAAGACACCCAUGACGCCCGAGUAGAAGCAAGACAAGCUAAAGAAGCUGCAGAGCGCGAAAAGCAUAUAGGUAAUAUCUUUUGAUUUUUAGCUUCGGCAUUUGUUUUUGUGGCUUCGGACUAAUUAAUUUUUCCCACUUCAGCUGAAUUAUCUCUGCCGUCGGAACCGUUCGACCCCCUGGCUGAUCCAAAAACGAAGGAAGCGCUGGAGAUCAUCAAUAUGGAUGAAUCUAUUGUUGAUGAAGUUGUUAACAAAUUACUGAACGAAGUUGCAGAAAAAGUCCUCAAAGAAGAAUAGCUCUAAUUGUAAAAAUAUUUUGAAAUGGUUGAUGUAUGAGACACUAGAAUGGCCAUUGUACUUUUAUUGUAACAAUACUGUAAUAUUUGAUGUAUGUAGCUUUGAAUCGAAUAUGUAAAUUAUUGUAAUUCAUUUCUUUGCGAUGCAUGAAACUUUACAUACAUACCGUUUUUGAGCCUUCGGCGAAAAAACACCUUCCUUCUUUUUAUGCUUCGUAAAGAAAAAGAUCCAUGCUUCGUAAAAAUGUCCAUGCUUCGUUAAAAUAUCCAUGCUUCGCAAAGAGGGAUCCCUUCUUUUGUGAUAAGGCUGAUGAGGUUGUAUUUUCGAAGCUUACUUCGUGCCUUAGCACAUUUUCAUUUUUACGAAGCAUUCGCCGAAGAUCAACUCCGUAUUCGAUUCUCGUGUCAUUGAUGCGAUAUGAUGUAUGAUGUGAUGCUAUGCGAAAUGAUGUGAUGAUAUGAUGCAAAAUGAUAUUGAUGCCGAAGACACACACCCACACACCCACACUGGAAUACACAAACUCUGCGUCCCCUUAGGAACGACCUUUGAGCUUCUUCGCCGUUUAUUUUUCGGUGUAAGUUCUACAUCCCCUUAGGAACGUCUUUUGAGCUUCUUCGCCUUCUAUUUCGACAGUAUAAGUUCUGCAUCCCCUUAGGAAUGACUUUUGAACUUCUUUGCCUUAUAUUUUGGCGGUAUUUGGCUCUGCAUUCCCGUUGGAAUGACUUUUGAGCAGAAAACUUACGCUGCGCUCCCUUAGGAAUGACUUUUUGUUGCUUCGGUAAUUUUAGCUCUGCAUUCCCUUAGGAAUGUCUUUUGAGCACAAAACUUACGCUGCGCUAGCUUCAUAACUUUUGAACUUCGUAAAUCUGUGAAGAAGAUAUAUUUCAUUUUGAUAGAAGCAAAAUCAUUACAAGAAAUUGAAACUAAAUUUACAUUGCUUGUUCCUUAUUAAAAAGCAAAAUGGCAUAGAACAUAAAAGUAUUUCAGCGGCAGGAUAUCGCUCAGUAUCUGUGCUUUGAUUCUGGCACAGUACUGUUGACUGUACUAGCUUCGGAUUCCUCUAUGAACUCACAUUGCUGUUGGGAGUGCUGGCGCCCUUCUGGCUGCUGGCUUCGGGAAUAGGUAGGUUGCAGUGGUGGUGGCGGUGGGAGCUGAGGCCAAGAAGCCUGUGAAUGGCUUGCCGAAGCAACAGAAGCUGCAGGAUGAUUGCCCACAUAUUCUGGUAUGUAGGGAGAGUAGCACGAAAAAGUGUGCAAGACCUGCUUCAGCUGAUUCUGCCAAGAUUCGGCUUUGGCGAUCUCCCUUUGCUUCAGAAUAGUGAUUUGGCACAUUCUUGUAGUAUGACCCUUGUCCUCACCACAGAAUAAGCAAUAGAUCUUCCUGGGCUGAUCCCCAUAUCUUCCUCCGAAGCCGCUGGCGCCUCUGCCCCUUGGAGCUGGCGGUCUGAAGGAGCUUUGCUGUUGUCCUAAAGACUGUGAGGUGUGCUGUGGCCUCUGAAGCUGGCUUCCUUUAUCAUCAUUCUGAAUGGAGCUAUGGAUUGAUCUAACGUGCCUAGGGUGGACUCUCCCUUCGAAGCCCCUAGUCAUCUCAAGGAAUCUGUAAGCUUCCUCCCUUCUUUGUCGGAAGUCAUUGUCAGCCCGGAUGUACUCAUCCAUUUUUUGAAGAAACUUCUCCAGAGUUUGGGGAGGUUUCCUGGCGAAGUAUUGGGCCGUAGGUCCUGGCCGAAGACCCUUGAUCAUGGCCUCAAUGACAAUUUCAUUGGGCACUGUGGGCGCUUGUGCUCUUAGUCGCAAGAACCUUCGGACAUAUGCCUGAAGGUAUUCCUCAUGGUCUUGUGUGCGCUGGAACAAGGCCUGAGCUGUGACUGGCUUCGUCUGAAAGCCUUGAAAACUGGUAACCAGCAUGUCCUUGAGCUUCUGCCACGACGUGAUUGUCCCUGGUCGAAGGGAAGAAUACCAUGUCUGGGCCACGUUUCAGACUGCCAUGACGAAGGACUUUGCCAUGACAGCUGCGUUGCCUCUGUAUGAGGAUAUUGUUGCCUCAUAGCUCAUCAAGAAUUGCUUUGGGUCCGAGUGCCCAUCGUACAUGGGUAGUUAAGGUGGCUUGUAGGAUUGUGGCCAUGGGAUAACCUACAAUUCUGCCGCAAGAGGAGAAGCAUCAUCAAAAGCAAAGGUACCAUGAUUAAGAUCAUCGUACCAUUCAUCUUCAUUGAAUGAGCCCUCUUGACGAAGCUCCAAGUGUUGAGGCCUUCGAUCAUGAUCAUCUUGAGUAAGAUGACGCACUUCCUCAGUGGCUUUGUCGAUCUUCUUCUGAAGGUCGGCCAGCCAAGCCAUCUUCUCCUUUUCCUUUGCACCUGAUGGUGAAUGAUUUCUAGGUCCAACUCCUCCUCCUGAAGUGUUGGACUGGUGGCUUUCUUCUUUUGGCUUCUGGCCUCUCGGAGAGAGAGUGUCUUGGUUUGUGUCUAGUGGCUGCAGUACAGCCCCUGGCGCUGUUAUCUUCUUCGGCGGCAUAAUGAAGGUUGAUGCUUUGCCGAAGGUUGUGGAAGUGAGUACACCGGAGGUGGGCGCCAAUGUUGGAGACUAGUUCUCAAAUGCUUCGGAUUAAGAACAAGGCAACACAAAAAGAGGUUAAUGGUUAAUGU
rnacentral:lncRNA from 1 species